rnacentral:misc_RNA from 1 species
AAGAUAUUUCACAAAGGAUUUUGGUAAACAAAUUGUUAUCUGAACCAGGAAAAUCUAACUCUAUCGGGUAACAAAUAAUGCUGCAUAAACAAUUACAUACAAAAAAAUAAUAACAAAUGCUUACCCAAAAAUCAGGGGGAAAAAAACACAAGGAAAAAAAGUUUAGAAUCAAUAUUUCACAAAAUUUCUUGUUAGUGAACAAUGAAAAGCUUGAUUUACGGGGAUGAUUUUGUUUAUGUUUUAGCAUUGUCCUCAGGUACAGGAGUAACUGAACUUGGUGUGGCAUCAUUUCCUGAAAUCUCCUGCGUUUUUGUGUCUUCUUCCUCAAGUACAGGCGUAACUGAACUUGGUGUGGCAUCAUUUCCUGAAAUCUCCUGCGUUUUUGUGUCUUCUUCCUCAAGUACAGGC